CAGCAGCCGCGGUAAUACGUAGGGUGCGAGCGUUAAUCGGAAUUACUGGGCGUAAAGCGUGCGCAGGCGGUUGUGUAAGUCAGGUGUGAAAUCCCCGGGCUUAACCUGGGAACUGCGCUUGUGACUGCACAGCUAGAGUACGGCAGAGGGGGGUGGAAUUCCACGUGUAGCAGUGAAAUGCGUAGAGAUGUGGAGGAACACCGAUGGCGAAGGCAGCCCCUUGGGCCAAUACUGACGCCCAUGCACGAAAGCGUGGGGAGCAAACAGGAUUAGAUACCCCUGUAGUCCCUGUCUCUUAUAC
rnacentral:rRNA from 1 species